rnacentral:rRNA from 1 species
CCUACGGGAGGCAGCAGUGGGGAAUAUUGGGCAAUGGAGGCAACUCUGACCCAGCAACGCCGCGUGAAUGAUGAAGGUCUUCGGAUUGUAAAGUUCUGUGAUGGGGGAUGAACACAAUGACGGUACCCCAAUAGCAAGCCACGGCUAACUACGUGCCAGCAGCCGCGGUAAUACGUAGGUGGCAAGCGUUAUCCGGAAUGACUGGGCGUAAAGGGUGCGUAGGUGGUUUAGUAAGUUGGCGGUGUAAUUCCGGGGCUCAACCUCGGCGCUACCGCCAAAACUAUUAGACUAGAGUGCAGGAGGGGUAAGUGGAAUUCCUAGUGUAGCGGUGGAAUGCGUAGAUAUUAGGAGGAACUCCGAUCGCGAAGGCAAGUGUCCGGGGUGCAACUGACGCUGAGGCUCGAAAGUGCGGGUAUCAAACAGGAUUAGAUACCCCGGUAGUC